rnacentral:rRNA from 1 species
UGGGGAAUAUUGCACAAUGGGCGAAAGCCUGAUGCAGCAACGCCGCGUGAGUGAUGAAGGUCUUCGGAUUGUAAAGCUCUGUCUUUUGGGACGAUAAUGACGGUACCAAAGGAGGAAGCCACGGCUAACUACGUGCCAGCAGCCGCGGUAAUACGUAGGUGGCGAGCGUUGUCCGGAUUUACUGGGCGUAAAGGGUGCGUAGGCGGAUGUUUAAGUGAGAUGUGAAAUACCCGGGCUUAACUUGGGUGCUGCAUUUCAAACUGGAUAUCUAGAGUGCAGGAGAGGAGAAUGGAAUUCCUAGUGUAGCGGUGAAAUGCGUAGAGAUUAGGAAGAACACCAGUGGCGAAGGCGAUUCUCUGGACUGUAACUGACGCUGAGGCACGAAAGCGUGGGUAGCAAACAGGAUUAGAUACCCUGGUAGUCCACGCCGUAAAACGAUGAGUACUAGGUGUAGGAGGUAUCGACCCCUUCUGUGCCGCAGUAAAACAC